rnacentral:tRNA from 1 species
GAGGGUAUAACUCAGUGGUAGAGUGCAUGCUUAGCAUGCACAAGGACCUGGGUUCAAUCCCCAGGACCUCCC